rnacentral:rRNA from 1 species
GCUCAGAUUGAACGCUAGCGGGAUGCCUUACACAUGCAAGUCGAACGGCAGCACGGACUUCGUCUGGUGGCGAGUGGCGAACGGGUGAGUAAUGUAUCGGAACGUGCCCAGUAGCGGGGGAUAACUACGCGAAAGCGUAGCUAAUACCGCAUACGCCCUACGGGGGAAAGCAGGGGAUCGCAAGACCUUGCACUAUUGGAGCGGCCGAUAUCGGAUUAGCUAGUUGGUGGGGUAACGGCUCACCAAGGCGACGAUCCGUAGCUGGUUUGAGAGGACGACCAGCCACACUGGGACUGAGACACGGCCCAGACUCCUACGGGAGGCAGCAGUGGGGAAUUUUGGACAAUGGGGGAAACCCUGAUCCAGCCAUCCCGCGUGUGCGAUGAAGGCCUUCGGGUUGUAAAGCACUUUUGGCAGGAAAGAAACGUCGUGGGUUAAUACCCCGCGGAACUGACGGUACCUGCAGAAUAAGCACCGGCUAACUACGUGCCAGCAGCCGCGGUAAUACGUAGGGUGCAAGCGUUAAUCGGAAUUACUGGGCGUAAAGCGUGCGCAGGCGGUUCGGAAAGAAAGAUGUGAAAUCCCAGAGCUUAACUUUGGAACUGCAUUUUUAACUACCGGGCUAGAGUGUGUCAGAGGGAGGUGGAAUUCCGCGUGUAGCAGUGAAAUGCGUAGAUAUGCGGAGGAACACCGAUGGCGA